UUUGGUGUCUCAGACGUAGAGGAACCACACCAACCCAUCCUAAACUUGGUGGUUAAACUCUACUGUGGUGAUGUUACAAUAAGGGAAUCCCUGUGGGAAAAUAGCUCGGUGCCAGAA
rnacentral:rRNA from 1 species